rnacentral:misc_RNA from 1 species
GGCAAUGAAGCGCGCACGUUGCC